UACGUAGGGUGCGAGCGUUAAUCGGAAUUACUGGGCGUAAAGCGUGCGCAGGCGGUUAUGUAAGACAGAUGUGAAAUCCCCGGGCUCAACCUGGGAACUGCGUUUGGAACUACAAGACUAGAGUGUGUCAGAGGGGGGUGGAAUUCCGCGUGUAGCAGUGAAAUGCGUAGAGAUGCGGAGGAAUACCGAUGGCGAAGGCAGCCCCCUGGCCUGAUACUGACACUGAGGUGCGAAAGCAUGGGGAGCAAACAGGAUUAGAUACCCUUGUAGU
rnacentral:rRNA from 1 species